UACCAGCACCCCGAGUGGUCGGGACGAUUAUUGGGCCUAAAGCAUCCGUAGCCGGUUUUACAAGUCCUCCGUUAAAUCCAGCUGCUUAACAGAUGGGCUGCGGAGGAUACUAUAAGAUUAGGAGGCAGGAGAGGCAAGCGGUACUCAGUGGGUAGGGGUAAAAUCCGUUGAUCCAUUGAAGACCACCAGUGGCGAAGGCGGCUUGCCAGAACGCACUCGACGGUGAGGGAUGAAAGCUGGGGGAGCAAACCGG
rnacentral:rRNA from 1 species